UGUAUACUACAAUCUAAAAAUGUUUAAUAAUUUAUAAUAUUUUAGAGAUAAAAUGUAAAUAUUAGAUCUACGAGUAUAUUGUUUCAGAAACGAAAAUGCCAAAGAAAAUUAAUGAGACAACUCAUCAUAUCUUAAAUGCGAAUAAUACAUAGCACAAUGAGAGGUGUAAUCAGCAUUAGUAACCGGAUCAUUUGCACCUUCAGCGGUUUUUCCUUUGGAUUUGGCAC